AGGACGAACGCUGGCGGCGUGCUUAACACAUGCAAGUCGAGCGGAAAGGCCCUUCGGGGUACUCGAGCGGCGAACGGGUGAGUAACACGUGAGUAACCUGCCCCUAGCUCUGGGAUAGCUCCGGGAAACCGGGAUUAAUACCAGAUACGACCACUUUAGACAUCUGUCGUGGUGGAAAGGAUUCCGGCUAGGGAUGGGCUCGCGGCCUAUCAGCUUGUUGGUGGGGUAACGCCUACCAAGGCGACGACGGGUAGCCGGCCUGAGAGGGCGACCGGCCACACUGGGACUGAGACACGGCCCAGACACCUACGGGUGGCAGCAGUCGAGAAUUUUUCUCAAUGGGGGAAACCCUGAAGGAGCGACGCCGCGUGGAGGAUGAAGGUCUUCGGAUUGUAAACUCCUGUCAUUUGGGAACAAGGCGUAGGUAUUAACUGUGCCUACGUUGAUAGUACCAGAAGAGGAAGAGACGGCUAACUCUGCGCCAGCAGCCGCGGUAA
rnacentral:rRNA from 1 species